rnacentral:tRNA from 1 species
CCUGGUGGCUUAGAGGGUAAAGCAUCUGCUUGCAAUGCAGGAGACCCAGGUUCGAUCCCUGGGUCAGGA